CAGCUCACAGCCUACCCAGCACCUUCGAGUCCUCCUCCACCCAACGGGCUCCCCGAGGCUCAUAUUUCAACACACUCACAAGGCCCUUCCAACGUGCCCCUCAAGUUAUGAGUUGGAAAUGCCAGCAGGAAUGGAAAAUCCAGGGCACAGCCAGGAGCGCAGUCCGGCGAUACCGUAGAGCAACACAGCCUACCUGGCCUGUCACAGUAAGAGCUUUUUUGGAGUGCUAAUGCGAUCCCAUCGUUGCACUGCUCCUGUUUCAGUGACACAGCACAGGGACCCGACUCCUCCCUACCACCAAGCGGGCAGCAAGAUUGGACAGAGAGGAACUGUAUCUCAUCCAACCUCUCAUCCCUGUUAAAUCGAUUUCCUUCUGUAAGCCUUCUCCCCGAUGCCAGCCUCAGAGUCCUGGAGAGGUCACAGAUUAACAGCGAAAGGUCAGAAGCUGUUCUGACUUCUCGGCCAGGCUGCUCCCUUGUAGAAACAACUAAGACAAAGAGGGCCAAAGGAAAGAACUGCUGACAAGGGCUGCUGCAGUCUGGUAAAACAGUGGAAAGGGGAACAGAUUCGAGCACAACUGGCACUGAGAAUGCCCAAGCCACAGCGCUGCUGAUGACAGCCACCACUCGGCAGAGGCGGUGCUGGCUCACCAAGGAAAAUGCAAGUCAUGGCCACAGGGAGGGGAGGCUGGGCCACUCCAGAGAGUGCCUCUCCGAGCUGUGGCACAUCUGAAACCAAAGCCUUAAGCAGAAAGUAGAGGUGCCAGGAAUUAUGGGUGAGGGAGCAUGUGGAGAAAGAGGGCUCACAGACUUAAGGGACACAAAAAUAUCUGCCAUGAUGGCUCUCCUGUGACUUUAGAAUAUGAAGGUUUCAGACAUAAUCCCCAGAGACCUUUCAAAGUGUAGAGCACCAAAUAUGUACCUGUUUAAAAAAUGUAGGCUAAUAGUUCUGUAACCCUAGUUAUUCUCGCUUUUGUGAGAGGAAAUUGGAAUCGAGAGGAGUUGGAAUUGAAUGGUGGCUCUGAGCUACUAACUUUUCUUCCAGAUAGCAAGCAUCUAGGAAAUAACUGAUCAAAAGUAGUUAUGGGAAUGCUCAGCCCUGAGAACCAUUCAACCACCUAAAGGUCAGUCUGGAAAAUGCUUCCUUCUGAACUAAACUUCCUUUAACUCUCACCCAAUAGCUCUCUCAUUCUUGCCGUAUCUGAACUCACCUUCACUGAGCCUUUAUUUCCUAGAUCCUUCUCUUAUCUCCCUAUCCCUCAGUGUCCUUCUGGCUUCUUUUGCUCCCUACUCAGCUAGGAAAUCAUCAGAAAUGAUCUAAACAGGAUUUUACCAGAGCUUUAGAACUGCUAACCCCACAGCUGCCUCCUGGGGCUGGAUUAUCUGUCACUAAAUUUGGGACUUCCUUACUUUUUCAUCACUCUGUUUCACUCCUGCCAAAGAAUGUGGGACAAACAAUUAAAGCACAUGGAUGUCACCUCAUGUGUCAUUUGCUGUAAUACCUGGCUUAACUCACUCCUUA
ensembl:lncRNA